GGUUACAUUUCUCCAGCUGCACGCAAGACUGGCCCAGGUCAAGCCCCAUAUGGAUUGGUACAGCCCCAGUACGGACUCCAGGGAGGCUACAGCUGCCCUUCUGGGAAGUGCUCCUACCCCGGCGCCGGGAAGAAGUGAGAGGGGUGAUGGGAUCCGCGGAGUGAGCGAGAAAGGCUGCGAGAUACCCUGCACCCCUUCGCCGUCUCCUGCCGGCAUCGUGACUUUGUGCUCACCUCGCUCCCCAGCUCCGUGUUAGGUAGACGUGUGUGUAAUCUUGCUUAAGCGCAAUGCUUUCUUGCUCUGGAGA